UAGUACUGCGAGUGAGAGGGAAGAGCCCAAGAUUGAAAGCUGGCGUCUUCGGCGUCCGCAUUGUAAUCUCAAGAAGUGUUUUCCGCUUCGGACCAUGCCUAAGUCCCUUGGAAAAGGGCAUCAUAGAGGGUGAUAAUCCCGUACAUGGCAUGGAGCGCCCGAAGCUUUGUGAUACGCUUUCUACGAGUCGAGUUGUUUGGGAAUGCAGCUCAAAAUGGGUGGUAAAUGCCAUCUAAGGCUAAAUAUUGGGGAGAGACCGAUAGCGAACAAGUACAGUGAUGGAAAGAUGAAAAGAACUUUGAAAAGAGAGUUAAACAGUACGUGAAAUUGCCAAAAGGGAAGGGUAGGAGGUCAGAGAUGCGUCUUGGGAUUCAGCCUUGCUUUUGCAUGGUGUUUUUCCCAAGUUGCAGGCCAACGUCGGUUUUGGGCACUGGAGAAGGGUAGGAGGAACGUGGCACCUCUCGGGGUGUGUUAUAGCCUCCUACUGGAUACAGCGACCGAGACCGAGGAACGCAGCGUACUCGUAAGAGCGGGCCUUUUGGCACCUUUACGCUUAGGGCGUUGGCAUAAUGGCCCUCUACCACCCGUCUUGA
rnacentral:rRNA from 1 species